CCCCCCCCCCCCCCCCAUUGGCGGGCGGCGGGGCGCGCGUCACAAUGGGUGAUUUGCAUGGGGCAGGCGGCGAAGCGGGCAGGUUGUGCGGCGCUGCGGCGUGGGCUGGACUGGAGCUGGGCGAGGAGCCGCGGGCGCCACUGCCCGGGGUCGGGGAGCAGUGCCAGUGCCAGUCGGAGCAGGCCCGCCUCCAGCUGCAGCUACAGCUACAGCCUGCACUAGUGGAGGUUGCUGUGGUAGGGCGGGCCAGUUAUUGCUGGCUUCCCAGAAGCAUGUGUCUGCUUGCAUUGGGUUAAUCCUCCAGAAGCAGGUGAGCCACUGACUAACGCACAUUGUGCUGUUAGCGAUUCCACUGUGCGUGUGACAGCGGCUAACCUGCUUUUCGGACAUCGCUAUGUCUACUCCAUCACCCCACCCCAGGAAGUGGCAAUGCUGGACCCUGGGAAUGGCUCCUAGUUCCCAACAAAACUUUACCGAGCUUGGCAACAGCCCCUGUUAAGUUCGCGGACCUGUGCUUUUUUGGAAUCUUCUGAAGAGUUCGUAGGAAGCUUGUACGCCUUUUUUUCCCUGGGGAUACAUGAAAGACUCGCAGCAAGAAGGAAAAAACAACUGCCUUUGUUAAAAUAAGUUAAUGGGAUGUAAUCGAUGCAUGCAUGUGCCAUUUGGACCACCUGUACUCAUGUUUAGCAUCAUGUUUAGUGAGCAAUGUCUUGGUGCAGGAGCAUUAAGGGACUUAAUGUUUGUGGGCCGUACUGCAAAAAGGAUCCAGGAAGUCGUGAGCAACUUGCCCUGAGCUAGGGGUGCCAAGCCAAAUGCAAAGGAUUCAUGGGAAGGUUGCAAAUGGAAGGACAUGCUGAUGAAAAUGAGCCCCAUCCCUCCCCUUUGUCCCACCCUGUCCUUUCCAAAAAGUAAUGCUAAUGGACAUUGAGCCAAAUUAGAGAGAAGCUCUUUAUCCAGCCAGUGAAGGCUUGGUACCCAGUCAAUGACUAACUGAACUACUGUCAAGGGUGUGUUAAUAGAAAAAACUAUGCAUGGCAUUGCCCUGGGUGAGUCACCUUAAAGACAGACUCUAAUCUCUUAUAAGUAAAGCAGAAACUGAUUUCACCUCCCAA